UACGUAGGGGGCAAGCGUUGUCCGGAAUCAUUGGGCGUAAAGCGCGUGUAGGCGGUUCGGUAAGUCCGCUGUGAAAGUCGGGGGCUCAACCCUCGAAAGCCGGUGGAUACUGUCGGGCUAGAGUACGGAAGAGGCGAGUGGAAUUCCUGGUGUAGCGGUGAAGUGCGCAGAUAUCAGGAGGAACACCAAUUGCGAAGGCAGCUCGCUGGGACGUUACUGACGCUGAGACGCGAAAGCGUGGGGAGCAAACAGG
rnacentral:rRNA from 1 species